GACGAACGCUGGCGGCGUGCUUAACACAUGCAAGUCGAACGGAAAGGCCCUGCUUUUGUGGGGUGCUCGAGUGGCGAACGGGUGAGUAACACGUGAGUAACCUGCCCUUGACUUUGGGAUAACUUCAGGAAACUGGGGCUAAUACCGGAUAGGAGCUCCUGCUGCAUGGUGGGGGUUGGAAAGUUUCGGCGGUUGGGGAUGGACUCGCGGCUUAUCAGCUUGUUGGUGGGGUAGUGGCUUACCAAGGCUUUGACGGGUAGCCGGCCUGAGAGGGUGACCGGCCACAUUGGGACUGGGAUGCGGCCCAGACUCCUACGGGAGGCAGCAGUGGGGAAUAUUGCACAAUGGGCGGAAGCCUGAUGCAGCAACGCCGCGUGCGGGAUGACGGCCUUCGGGUUGUAAACCGCUUUCGCCUGUGACGAAGCGUGAGUGACGGGAAGGGGUAAAGAAGCACCGGCUAACUACG
rnacentral:rRNA from 1 species